UGACGUUGUGGAAGAGCAUAGUUUUUUUUCAUGUUGAAAUGUUUCUAAGCAGCUCCUCUGUGAUUCUUUUAUUAUAAAACAAUGGAUAGCAUUAGAAUAAAAGCACAAAGGGUGGUUAAUAGUUUGGAUGGGUUCCCUUAGUCAGUGGAAAUAACACAUCCUAGUUGGAGAUGUUUAUUGAGGAUGAGCUGAGCAUUAUUACAUCCAAAAUGCACUCAUAAUGAUCUUUUUUUCUCCUGUUUAUGUUUAUUCGCUGCAUUUCAAUCAUAUAUCUUUACGGUUCCUUUUUAUUUUCUCUCCCAUAAAAUGAAAUCACACAACAGCGCCACAUGACAAUGUGGGUCAAGUAUAGAUUGAAAGGGAAUCUAUGACACAUAAAAUGUGUACAACACAAGCAAUGCAGAUCGAUUCUUAAAUCACAAGCAGCUGGAUCUCGUUGUCACGGUUUGGUUCCUCUUCCUGUUUUAUUUUGUAGUCUCAUGUCUCUUGUGUCCCUGGGUUAGCUUCACUUCCUGCCUUGUCCUGUGAUUGUCUGAUUGUUUCCACCUGUGUCCAAUCACCUGCACCUCCCUCGUGGAUUUAGGCCCCGUGUGCCUGUUGCUUCCGUUUGAUUAAAGAGAACUUGAGUCCGAGUCCUCCCUGCAGACCUGCGCCAGCCUCCCCGACACACGUGACCCCUGACAUCUUGAGAAGCUCCGCCCCUUCGCCGUCGGCCAGGAUGACCUCCAGCGGUGACCUCCGUCCGUGACCUCCGUCCGUGACCUCCGUCAGUCACCGUCCAGUCUCUGGAGGCUGAAUCCACGGUGCGUCAUUGAGCAGCUUGAAGACAACACCUGCUCAGCAUUCUUCUUUUAAACUGUAACCAGUUUCAAGAAUCUCACCAGUCAAGUCCAUCCGGGCUCGUUUGAGUGAUCAGCUGGUUGGAAACGAGAGAAGCAAAGUGCACCGAAUGGACUAAAUGAGUCUGAUGUGUCCAGUCUGCACUGAACACAUUGUGUAAGACAACUUCGUCCAGCCUGCUCUCUCUCUCUUCAUGCUGUAAACAACUCAAUUUGAAAACAACAACAACAACGCCGCGAGUUUGCUUUCUUUUGCAAAUCCGUGGAUGAUUAUUCCCCGGAACAAAGGGAAAUAAACAGCUGUGUUUAGGGAACUGAAAGCAAACUGUGCAGCGGAGUCCCUCCCAGACGCCCCAGAGCUGGUGAUUCAGCUGAGACGCACCGACGUGUCUCGUCGUCCCGCUGCGGCAGAAACCGGGACCCGAUCCCUGGUUCUCCCAUGCGUUCUGAAUCCUGACUGCAGAGCGGAACAGAAGGGAGGGAGGGGG